ACAGAGGUCUCAAGCGUUGUUCGGAUUCAUUGGGCGUAAAGGGUGCGUAGGUGGCGCCGUAAGUCAGGUGUGAAAUUUCGGAGCUUAACUCCGAAACUGCAUUUGAUACUGCGGUGCUUGAGGACUGGAGAGGAGACUGGAAUUUACGGUGUAGCAGUGAAAUGCGUAGAGAUCGUAAGGAAGACCAGUGGCGAAGGCGGUCUGCUGGGCAGUUUCUGACACUGAUGCGCGACAGCGUGGGGAGCAAACAGUA
rnacentral:rRNA from 1 species